GAAAUGCGAUAAGUAGUGUGAAUUUCAGAAUUCAGUGAAUCAUCGAAUCUUUGAACGCACAUUGCGCCCCUUGGUAUUCCAUGGGGCAUGCCUGUUCGAGCGUCAUUUGUACUCUCAAGCUCUGCUUGGUGUUGGGUGUUUGUCCUCUCCUCUGUGUUUGGACUCGCCUUAAAGCAAUUGGCAGCCAGUGUUUUGGUAUGGAAGCGCAGCACAAUUUGCGAGUCUAGCCCAUGAAUACUAGCAACCAUCAAGCCUUUAUUUUCACGCUUGACCUCGGAUCAGGUAGGGAUACCCGCUGAACUUAAGC
rnacentral:misc_RNA from 1 species